CAGUCGCCGCGGGAAUACAGAGGGUGCGAGCGUUAAUCGGAUUUACUGGGCGUAAAGCGUGCGUAGGCGGCUUUUUAAGUCGGAUGUGAAAUCCCUGAGCUUAACUUAGGAAUUGCAUUCGAUACUGGGAAGCUAGAGUAUGGGAGAGGAUGGUAGAAUUCCAGGUGUAGCGGUGAAAUGCGUAGAGAUCUGGAGGAAUACCGAUGGCGAAGGCAGCCAUCUGGCCUAAUACUGACGCUGAGGUACGAAAGCAUGGGGAGCAAACAGGAUUAGAUACCCCCGUAGCCCUGUCUCUUAUACA
rnacentral:rRNA from 1 species